CAGUCGCCGCGGUAAUACCGGCGGCCCGAGUGGCGGCCACUAUUAUUGGGCUUAAAGCGUCCGUAGCCGGGUUGGUUAGUCUCCCGGGAAAUCUGGCCGCUUAACGGUCAGAAUUCCGGGAGAUACUGCCAGCCUAGGGACCGGGAGAGGCCGAGGGGAUUCCCGGAGUAGGGGUGAAAUCCUAUAAUCCCGGGAGGACCACCUGUGGCGAAGGCGCUCGGCGGGAACGCGUCCGACGGUGAGGGACGAAGGCCAGGGGAGCAAACCGGAUUAGAUACCCGGGUAGUCCUGGCUGUAAACGAUGCGGACUUUGUGUCGGACAAGCUAUGAGCUUGUCCGGUGCCGGAGGGAAACCGUUAAGUCCGCCGCCUGGGGAGUACGGCCGCAAGGCUGAAACUUAAAGGAAUUGGCGGG
rnacentral:rRNA from 1 species